rnacentral:misc_RNA from 1 species
AAAUUUUCAUCCCCAACUUGAACAUCAUCUAACUUUUCAACACUUACUAUCUCUUCUAUAUGCUUGUUCUCGCCCACAUUCAAGUCCGUCAAAUUUGGAGCUAGAAUAAUCCAUGUCAGAUCCUUCAAUCUGAGGCUUCCCAUUAAAUUCAAUACUUUAAGGCUGUUAAAGCAUGUCUCCCUUGAGAUCAUUGAGUUGCCUAGACCUCCACCUGCAUCAUCAUGUGUUUCUAUCUCUUCCAUUACAACAUC